GUUUUUUGUUUUUUGUUUUUUUUUAUUCUUUCAUAUAAUGCUAUUAUUCUCUUUUAUAUAAGUAUUCACACGACACUAUCAUUAUCUGCUAUCCCAGUAACUGAUGUGUGAAGCAGUUGGGUUAUUUUAUUUAUCAUGUUGUUAAUUUAAAUCUUGUCUGUAAUCAGUAUUUCAUAUAUAACUAGUUCUAAUUGUAACGGGGACCGUUACAGAUGUUCCCCAAACCUCCCCCAAUUAAAAAGUGAUGUCCUUGUGAAUCUAUAGGAAAAAAUCAUUUUAUUUUAUCCUUUAAUUACAUGUAGUACGUUCAAUAUGGCAUUUGUAUCAUAUACCCACAGUAUGAAUUUCAUAACCUUUCCACCACAUAUAAGGAAGUUAUAGCGAUUUCAAAAUCAUCCAAUCAGAAUUCAGCACACGUGCAUGCACGUGCUGAGCAGUAAUUCUAACCACAGCAAUUUGUAAGGAGUACCAAGACACAUCUAAAUCCCUAAUAUCAAUAGAAUUUGAUGAAAAACAAAAACGUUAUAGUUCUUUAAAUAUUGAACAUUUGAAAAACGUUGCACGCGCAUGCGCGUGUACGUUGGCAUUUUUUUGUUACACCAAAAUAUAGAUACACAUAUUGUCUACGUAUGCUGUGAAUAUCAUCUCAUUCGCUUCAUAAAUAAGAUAGUUACAGACGUUUUAGUACUAUCCAAUCAAAAUGAAGCGCACGUGCAUGCGCGUGCAAAUUGGUAAUUUUGACCAUGCAAAUCAGUUAAGGGUCUCAAUAUCUACUUAUGAUAUGAAUAUCAAGCCAUUUCAAUGAAGAACAAAAAAGUUAGACUGAUUCCAAAGUUAGAGUACAAAUUUUGUAAUGCACGUGCACGCACAUGCGUGCGCGUGUAGACAAAAUAAAUAUCAUUUUUGAUAUCUACAAAUGAUAUACUACCAUCAUAUUUAGGUUUCAUAUCGAUCCCUUUAAUAUUCUGAUUUUCCAUUUUUUGUACCAAAAUUGCAGUGCACGUGCGCGCGCGUGCAUGCACGUGAAGACAAAAUGACUAUCACUAUGCACAUCUAUAAACGCUAUACUAUCAUCCUGGAAAGUUUCAUAUCGAUCCCUUUUGUAGUUUCUGAGAACACUACCGGACAAAAAAGUACCGGAGAAAAAGAAUAAUAACUAGACACGAUCUCGUUGCGAGCAACGAGUAGGUCUUCCGUCCGAUUUGUUGAUGCACUCGGAGUUAAAAAAAAAAAAAAAAGAGAAAUGAGUCCCAAUUUAGU